GGCGUAAGCGCGCGCAGGCGGUUUCUUAAGUCUGAUGUGAAAGCCCCCGGCUCAACCGGGGAGGGUCAUUGGAAACUGGGGAACUUGAGUGCAGAAGAGGAGAGUGGAAUUCCACGUGUAGCGGUGAAAUGCGUAGAGAUGUGGAGGAACACCAGUGGCGAAGGCGACUCUCUGGUCUGUAACUGACGCUGAGGCGCGAAAGCGUGGGGAGCGAACAGGAUUAGAUACCCUGGUAGUCCACGCCGUAAACGAUGAGUGCUAAGUGUUAGAGGGUUUCCGCCCUUUAGUGCUGCAGCAAACGCAUUAAGCACUCCGCCUGGGGAGUACGGUCGCAAGACUGAAACUCAAAGGAAUUGACGGGGGCCCGCACAAGCGGUGGAGCAUGUGGUUUAAUUCGAAGCAACGCGAAGAACCUUACCAGGUCUUGACAUCCUCUGACAACCCUAGAGAUAGGGCUUCCCCUUCGGGGGCAGAGUGACAGGUGGUGCAUGGUUGUCGUCAGCUCGUGUCGUGAGAUGUUGGGUUAAGUCCCGCAACGAGCGCAACCCUUGAUCUUAGUUGCCAGCAUUCAGUUGGGCACUCUAAGGUGACUGCCGGUGACAAACCGGAGGAAGGUGGGGAUGACGUCAAAUCAUCAUGCCCCUUAUGACCUGGGCUACACACGUGCUACAAUGGGCAGAACAAAGGGCAGCGAAGCCGCGAGGCUAAGCCAAUCCCACAAAUCUGUUCUCAGUUCGGAUCGCAGUCUGCAACUCGACUGCGUGAAGCUGGAAUCGCUAGUAAUCGCGGAUCAGC
rnacentral:rRNA from 1 species